UACGUAGGGGGCAAGCGUUGUCCGGAUUUAUUGGGCGUAAAGAGCGUGUAGGCGGCCAUACAGGUCAGCUGUGAAAACUCGAGGCUCAACCUCGAGACGUCGGUUGAAACCGUAUGGCUAGAGUCCGGAAGAGGAGAGUGGAAUUCCCGGUGUAGCGGUGAAAUGCGCAGAUAUCGGGAAGAACACCCGUGGCGAAGGCGGCUCUCUGGGACGGUACUGACGCUGAGACGCGAAAGCGUGGGGAGCGAACAGG
rnacentral:rRNA from 2 species